GGGGAGACUCGCCGCGCCUAGGAAUGACCCGUACGUAGGCUGCUGGGGUGAGAAGGCGUAAGGUCAGCCGGACGGGGGGAGUCUGAUCAGUGACCUCAGCAUGGCCUUUGGGAAGGGACGAGGCCGGCCCACUAUCCCCCUAGCUUAAACAUGCCCAGCCUGGGACCGCACUAUUCACAAUAGCCAAGACAUGGAAAACAAUCUAAAUGUCCAUCAGCAGAUGAAUGGAUUCAGGAGAUGUGGUACCUAUGCACAACGGAAUACCAUUCAUCCAUAAAGGACAAAAUAAUGCCAUUUGCAGCAACAUGGUUGGAACUAGAGAUUCUCAUAGUAAGUGAAAUACCAACUUGAAAGUUACUCGAUGACCAUACAAUCCAUACAGGUGCCUCCUAAGGGUGGUUUUUUCAGUGAAGCUGUGGUAUACGCACUGCAAGAAUGUGAUGCUCAUGAUACUGGAAUGACCAAAAGAUAUGAGUAUGACUGUCUCUUGGGAGACGCCAUCGAGGGCAGUGCCAUGAAACAUGAGAAUCUCUGGGGCACCACAGCAUUGUAACUCAGGAGCUAUGGCUUUGCCAACACUACACAGUCCUGUCUGAUGUCCUGUAGGCGGCUGGGAGUACAUACAUAGACCACAGGAUGUCCUUUUCACAUCCACAACUGCGCAACUGAGAGAAGAGCAUGAGCAGCUGAGAAGAUUUUAUUGUGUGUUAAAUAAGGUACUGUUUCUCCCUCUGGGAAGAAGGCAAUAUUGGAAGAAAUAGUAGAUAAAGACUAUAUCUAACUUAAAACACUCUGUCGGGUCAAGAAAACAGAAGUACUGGUUGUUACCUAUACUCUUGACCUAGCUAAUGGAUAAUGAUGGAUGUAUCAUGUCCAGUCUUCUAAAAAGUCAUCAUUGACCAAAACACUAUAAGCCUAAUUGAAAACUCUACGUGCAUAAAAGACCCAAAUGCGAUUUUGAGUGUCCUAGCUAGUUGAAGCUGAUUUUUUUUAGUGUGCAAUUUGCAUUGAAGUUCAUGCCCCAGUGCACCCAAAUUUCAGUAUUAUUCAGUUUCCUGAGGAACCCCUAUACGGUCAACCUUAGUGAACAAUAUUUUUCCUCUACUUCCUAUAUUACUGUUUAGGUAACUGCUCUCUAUUGCUUUUCCUGCAGCCAUAGACCAUCAGAAGGAUAAUCUAUAUUUUCAAAUAAUCUGACCUUGAGCUCUUCUCCAAUGCACUUUAAAAAGAAAUCAUUUUAGGGGGUCUCUCAUAGUUUCUCCUUUAAUUUGUCUGCUUUUCUUACGGUAUGGUUUGCUCCUUUUUGCUUGUGUGGAACAGGGACUGAAUGUUGAUGACCGCAAUUCUGGAUUCCUUCCAGGCAUUUAUUCUGGAACAAGUUCUCGGUCUGUUGGCACUAAAACCUAUCUAUUAUUCCCUUUCCUACCCUUUCCUAUCCACAAUAUGCUAUACACCCACUCUUUUCCUGCCAUGUAGUGGGAAGGAUGGAUUUACAGGAUUUUAAGAAUCCCUGCAAAUUUAAAUACUCAUAGAAGAUUUCUGGGUAGACAUGAAAUAAGGCCCAGGAAACUUAUUAAGGAUAAUAAAAUGAGUUGCUGUACUAUUUACUUUUUUAUUUUUUUGCUUUUUCUAGGGCUGCUCCCAAGGCAUAUGGAGGUUCCCAGGUUAAGGAUCUAAUUGGAGCUGUAGCCACUGGCCAGAGCCACAGCAACGGGGGAUCCGAGCCGCGUCUGUGACCUACACCACAGCUCGUGGCAACGCUGGAUCCUUAACCCACUGAGCAAGGCCAGGGAUCGAACCCUCAACCUCAUGGUUCCUAGUUGGAUCCAUUAACCACUGAGCCAUGACAGGAACUCCUAGGCUGAUUUUUAAUUAGUUAGUCUUUCUACAUAUUUCUAUCACUCUUGUUCUCUUAGGUUGCUUGCUGUGCUUCUGUUCCAGCCUUCCAGAUGUUGUUUUAUUGAUUUUUUUUUCCUGAAGACCCUCCCUCCCAGCCAUCACCAUCCCCAAGUAAAUGCAGGCAUUUCCUCUGAACUCCCAUAACACUUGUACAUACUUCCCUAGAUUGUUUACUCACAUUACUUGUUCAUAAGUCUGCUUUUCUUUGGGGACCGGGAUUAGGGACUGUGGCUCAUUCGCAGUUGUGUUUUCUCACUGUACUCAUCGAGUUCCUGGAACACCAUGGGCAACAAAACAAGUUUCUUUAGUAAGUGAGUGAAGCAUGCUUCACGGAAUGAAGAUGGGACCUUAGGCAACUCUAGACACCAAGUCGAAAGGGUGCUUGUGCCGACCCUGUUAUGCCUGUGACCCCAGCUGCACCGAACUUCAGGACAGCAGCCCUCAUCACACCUCAAGUUCUGGGCCCUCUUCUCUCUUGCUCUCCCCAGUUUUUGUUACCUUAUUGCAUUUUUCUAGAAUACAAACUGCCUUUCGCUCCCACGUCUUGCCUAGGAGUUGCCUCGAAGGCUUAACACCGGUUUUGGUUGAUUCAGCUGUGAGUCUCAGUGUUUCUCCUUACAGAGAGUUUAUUCCCUCUGGCCCACGCUGUUCCAUUGCGUCAGCCUUUGACCCAUAGACCAUUCCUCAGUGUUGGCUCUCAUGGUCCAAAUUGCUUUGGGGGUCAGGACUAAAAAUAGGGAUGUUUUAGGCAAUGCCAAAAUGCGUAUCAGCCUAAUUUCAAGGUAGAAAAAAAAAAAAAAAAAAAA
rnacentral:lncRNA from 9 species